GUCGAUCAUAUCCUGAAUUUUGUUCUUCAACGACCAACAAUUGUUUGUAUCAUGCCCGGGGCUAUCGGAGUGAUAUGCACACCUGGCAUUGGGAUUAUAACGAGGAGAAGUAGUGUUGGGCUUUGCAGGAGGAUCUCUGAGGGUAAUUAAAUUUGCUUUUAGCAUACCCUGCAGUGCUUGUGCUAAAGUCAUAUUGAUCUUCGUAAACUGCCUCCUUCCCGGGUUAACGUGCCUAACAGGUUUCUGGUCUUUCUUU
rnacentral:lncRNA from 1 species